GGCUCAGGACGAACGCUGGCGGCGUGCUUAACACAUGCAAGUCGAACGAUGAUGCCCAGCUUGCUGGGUGGAUUAGUGGCGAACGGGUGAGUAACACGUGAGUAACCUGCCCCUGACUCUGGGAUAAGCGUUGGAAACGACGUCUAAUACUGGAUAUGAUCACUGGCCGCAUGGUCUGGUGGUGGAAAGAUUUUUUGGUUGGGGAUGGACUCGCGGCCUAUCAGCUUGUUGGUGAGGUAAUGGCUCACCAAGGCGACGACGGGUAGCCGGCCUGAGAGGGUGACCGGCCACACUGGGACUGAGACACGGCCCAGACUCCUACGGGAGGCAGCAGUGGGGAAUAUUGCACAAUGGGCGAAAGCCUGAUGCAGCAACGCCGCGUGAGGGAUGACGGCCUUCGGGUUGUAAACCUCUUUUAGUAGGGAAGAAGCGAAAGUGAC
rnacentral:rRNA from 1 species